ACGGCUCAGUAACACGUGGAUAACCUGCCCUUGGGUCCGGCAUAACCCCGGGAAACUGGGGAUAAUUCCGGAUAACGCACAUAUGCUGGAAUGCUUUUUGCGUAAAAUGGAUUCGUCUGCCCAAGGAUGGGUCUGCGGCCUAUCAGGUAGUAGUGGGUGUAAUGUACCUACUAGCCUACGACGGGUACGGGUUGUGAGAGCAAGAGCCCGGAGAUGGAUUCUGAGACAUGAAUCCAGGCCCUACGGGGCGCAGCAGGCGCGAAAACUUUACAAUGCGGGAAACCGUGAUAAGGGGACACCGAGUGCCAGCGUCAUACGCUGGCUGUCCAGGUGUGUAAAAUACACCUGUUAGCAAGGGCCGGGCAAGACCGGUGCCAGCCGCCGCGGUAACACCGGCGGCCCGAGUGGUGAUCGUGAUUAUUGGGUCUAAAGGGUCCGUAGCCGGUUUGGUCAGUCCUCCGGGAAAUCUGACAGCUUAACUGUUAGGCUUUCGGAGGAUACUGCCAGACUUGGAACCGGGAGAGGUAAGAGGUACUACAGGGGUAGGAGUGAAAUCUUGUAAUCCCUGUGGGACCACCUGUGGCGAAGGCGUCUUACCAGAACGGGUUCGACGGUGAGGGACGAAAGCUGGGGGCACGAACCGGAUUAGAUACCCGGGUAGUCCCAGCCGUAAACGAUGCUCGCUAGGUGUCAGGCAUGGCGCGACCGUGUCUGGUGCCGCAGGGAAGCCGUGAAGCGAGCCACCUGGGAAGUACGGCCGCAAGGCUGAAACUUAAAGGAAUUGGCGGGGGAGCAC
rnacentral:rRNA from 1 species